ensembl:miRNA
GCCCUGCGUCCACCUUCCCCGGUCAGGGCUCGGCAGGGCGGGAGUCGAGCCCGGCACGUGGAAGAGCCACCGCACCGU